rnacentral:ncRNA from 1 species
GGUCAAGCGAACAAGGGCGCAGGGCGAAUGCCUUGGCACUGGGAGCCGAUGAAAGACGUGAUAAGCUGCGAUAAGCUUCGGGGAGCUGCAAAUAAGCAUUGAUCCGGAGAUUUCUGAAUGAGGAAACUCACCUGGGUUCAUACUCAGGUACGUUAUACUUAACUUCAAAAUAGGUAUAUCGAGGGAACCGCCUGAACUGAAACAUCUAAGUAGGGCGAGGAAGAGACAUCAAACGAGAUUCCGUAAGUAGUGGCGAGCGAACGCGGAAGAGGGCAAACCGAGAGUAGAAAUACUUUCGGGGUACGGACUGCUUUUAGGACUUAAUCUGUUAACCGAACGGCAUGGGAAGGCCGGUCAGAGAGUGUGAGAACCACGUAGGUGAAAACG